CGGAGCGUAGCGCAGCCUGGUAGCGCACCUGAUUUGGGAUCAGGGGGUCGCAGGUUCGAAUCCUGCCGCUCCGA
rfam:Paramesorhizobium deserti strain A-3-E Scaffold2, whole genome shotgun sequence.